UAGUAAUCCUGCUCAGUACGAAAGGAACCGCAGGUUCAGACAUUUGGUGUAUGUGCUUGGCUGAGGAGCUAAUGGUGCGAAGCUACCAUCUGUGGGAUUAUGACUGAACGCCUCUAAGUCAAAAUCCCCCCUAAA
rfam:Salmo salar isolate Sally breed double haploid chromosome ssa12, whole genome shotgun sequence.